rnacentral:tRNA from 1 species
GCGCGUGUAGCUCAGUGGGAGAGCGGUUGUCUUAUAAACAACAGGUCCCAGGUUCGAUCCCUGGCACGCGCA